rnacentral:rRNA from 1 species
UACGUAGGGUGCAAGCGUUAAUCGGAAUUACUGGGCGUAAAGCGUGCGCAGGCGGUUGUGUAAGACAGAUGUGAAAUCCCCGGGCUCAACCUGGGAACUGCAUUUGUGACUGCAUGGCUGGAGUGCGGCAGAGGGGGAUGGAAUUCCGCGUGUAGCAGUGAAAUGCGUAGAUAUGCGGAGGAACACCGAUGGCGAAGGCAAUCCCCUGGGCCUGCACUGACGCUCAUGCACGAAAGCGUGGGGAGCAAACAGG